rnacentral:rRNA from 1 species
AUUGAACGCUGGCGGCAGGCCUAACACAUGCAAGUCGAGCGAGCGGCGGACGGGUGAGUAAUGUCUGGGAAACUGCCUGAUGGAGGGGGAUAACUACUGGAAACGGUAGCUAAUACCGCAUACCAUCAGAUGUGCCCAGAUGGGAUUAGCUAGUGGGUGGGGUAACGGCUCACCUUGGCGACGAUCCCUAGCCGGUCUGAGAGGAUGACCCGCAACACUGGAACGGAGAAAAGGUCCAGACGCCUACGGGAGGCGGCAGUGGGGAAUAUGGCACAAUGGGGGCAGGCCUGCUGGAGCACUGCCGCGUGGGUGAAGAAGGCCUUCGGGUUUUAAAGCACUUUCAGCGGGGAGGCGUUACCCGAAGAAGAAGCACCGGGUAACUCCGUGCCAGCCGCCGCGGUAAUAC